rnacentral:rRNA from 1 species
GACGAACGCUGGCGGCGUGCUUAACACAUGCAAGUCGAACGGUAAGGCCCUUCGGGGUACACGAGUGGCGAACGGGUGAGUAACACGUGGGUGAUCUGCCCUGCACUUCGGGAUAAGCCUGGGAAACUGGGUCUAAUACCGGAUAGGGCCACUGCCUGCAUGGGUGGCGGUGGAAAGCUUUUGCGGUGUGGGAUGGGCCCGCGGCCUAUCCGCUUGUUGGUGGGGUGAUGGCCUACCAAGGCGACGACGGGUAGCCGGCCUGAGAGGGUGACCGGCCACACUGGGAAUGAGAUACGGCCCAGACUCCUACGGGAGGCAGCAGUGGGGAAUAUUGCACAAUGGGCGCAAGCCUGAUGCAGCGACGCCGCGUGAGGGAUGACGGCCUUCGGGUUGUAAACCUCUUUCAGCACCGACGAAGCGCAAGUGACGGUACCUAAAGAAGAAGCACCGGCUAACUACGUGCCAGCAGCCGCAGUAA